AAAAUUAAGAACGAAUGUACCAUUUACUUGAUCACAAAGGUAGUUUACCAGGAUGAGGCUGAUCCUUUGUACUCCGGAUGUGCUGGCCCAUGCAAUUUAUCCAAGUGUGGGAAACUUGACUGCUGAAUUUGUGGUAAUGGGGGAACUGAGUUCGUGCUCUCCUCUG